UUCUGAAAAGAUUGUUUCUAUCUCUAUUUAUCUAUAGAGUAAUCCAUUCCCUUAAACAGUGGAAAUUUGAGCGCUUUCAUGUAUAUAUACACUGCCAGAUCAGGCACUUUGAAACAAUCAACUGACAAGACAAAUUUUUUCUGGCGUUUAUUUGAUCAAGGUGAACAGAAACGGAAAAUUUAAAGGCAUUACCCAGUCCUCAGAUGAACGGUAAAAAACGCCAAUUACUUCAGUGGAUAGUUCGUUAAUAAGCAUUCCCUACUUCAAAAGAACCGUGGUCCAAAAAAGGGAUGACCGUGAUAAAUCGGUUCGGUGUGAAUGAACGGUUCCACAAAUUCAAUUACUUUAAGGAAGAGUUCGGUAAUAAGCAUUCCAUUCUUCAAAAUAACACCGAAAGGAGGUCCAUAUAAGUGAUGACAGUAAGGAGCUAAACAAUGGUUCGGUGUGAGUGAACGGUUCCAAGAAACCAGUUACUUUAGUGGAUAGUUCAUUAAUAAGCAUUCCCUAUUUCAAAAGAAAAUCGAAAAUAGAUCCAGAAAAGUGAUGACCGUAAGGGUAAAGAGCUGAACAACGCUUUUAUUGCUAGCGAAGAUAUGGAAAUCAAUGUGAGUGUUUUAUCUAAUCUUUUACCGCAAAAGAAAGAGAAAGUCGGUUGAAAAUCAAGGCGACGUCAUCAUUUUUCUUGUGGGAUACUCUUCGCUUGAAAAAAGCUCAAAUGUGAAUAUGGAACUAUAUUUUAUUAUAUCAAUGUGUCGUACCUCUCUAACUGUUUUUAUACUCUCGCAACAAAAGUUGCUAAAGAGUGUAUAAUAGUUUUGCCCACAUAACGGUUGUUUGUAAGUCCUAAAACUAAACGAGUUAGAUAUAAGGUUAUAUAUACCAAAGUGAUCAGAGUGACGAGUAAAGUUUAAAUACGGAUGUCUGUCUGUUCGUGCAAGCUGUAACUUGAGUAAAAAUUGAGAUAUCUUAAUGAAACUGGGAACACGUGUUCCUUGGCACCAUAAGAAGGUAAAGUCCGGUGGAAUCGGACCACUGCCACGCCCACAAAAUGGCGAUAACUGAAAACAAAUAAAGAGCUAUAACUAAGCCAUAAAUUAAGGUAUGAAAUUAAAAUUUGGUACAAAGGUUUGUUCUAGGAAGAGCCUUAUUCGAAUGUAAUUUUUUUGGGAAAGUGGGCGUGGCCCCGCUCCCUACUAAAUUUUUUUUAUUUAUCUCGUAAACUAUUAAAGCCAUAUCAACGAAACUCUCAGGAGUCGUUUUUUUCGGGCAUUUACUUAUAUAGUCCUUAAAUUUCAUUAUAAAGAUGGUGCAGAAGAGCUGCACUCAAAAUGGUAUACAAAAUGUUAAAUGGGCGUGGUUCCGCCCACUUUGGGUCAAGAACCAGAUCUCCGAAACUACUCGACCAAUUUCAAUGAAAUUCGGUUUGUAAUAUUUUCCUUACAUCUAAAUGAUAUGUUGUGAAAAUAAGCCAAAUCGGUUUACAAUCACGCCUACUUCCUAUAUACCAGAACUUUGAAGACAAUCUGUUACAAUAUAUAAAGUAAGCACUAGUGAAGAUAUCGGAACAGAACUUUGCAUAAAUACUGCAUUUAUAGUGUGGCAGCCCCUUUCGCCCUUUCGCCGAAAUCAGAUCAUAGGUUUUUCUAACCUAAUAUUAGGGUUUCCAACUUUCAAUGGACUUUAUACAAUAUAUAUGACGAAUAUGUGGGUCAAAUUGUCUAUUAUAUAAUAUUAAUAAAAUUAAAUCAAUAAAUUGCGAGAGUAUAAAAUGUUCGGUCACAACAUCGGAACUUAGCCCUUCCUUACUUGUUUUCUAAUAUAAUCUCCAGCGAAUGCGCUAAGGGUUAGUAAAGAUCAUAAAGAUAAAUUUUACGAACGAUCUGACAUCCGGCGGUUCCAGCUUUGACAGAGAAUGUGAUAGCAAAUUUCGGAAGAAGGGACCUAUCAUUAUUAUCUGACAGGAGUGAUCAAAUAAGCAACAAUGAACUGAGUGAGGGCUCAUAAAAUUAAAAGAGAGCAAACAUACAACAACCAUAUCAAUCGCCUUGACUGUGAUAUUUGAAAUACAUAGUUAAACAAACUUUAAAUCGAAUCAAAAUAUCAUUUGUUUUCUAUUCCAAUUACCUACACCACUAUUUUAUUUUUAUAAAAUGAUUCAUAGAAAAUUGAAAUUCUACAAAGUGUCGAAAUUCCCCAACAACUAUUUUUUCAAUCAAUUACUACAGCAACUACUCGGAACUAUAUAUCUACAUAUGUACAUAUAUACAUAUCUAAGCAGAUAUAAAAUAGUCUCGUAAUGUAUGCCAAAUUGGUUUGGUGCGUAGCAGCGAGCGCGAAUAAUGGAAUGACGUCACUACAACACAGGUGCCCAAUACUAAAGACCAGUAAGAGCAGCAAAUUUCAUCACUACUUGUUUAUGUGGGGAUACCCCGUGCCUGUAGGGAACUCCCCAGCUGUUUUAGCCGAAAUUGAAUAAAAGCAGUGUGUUACACAAAUACAAAUAAGCUGUGCUUAAUGACCAUAAGAAUCGUGCUUUUGAAAUAUUUGUUGCUGAGCGUUAAAUUAAAUAUUUUCCACGAAAUUCAGAAAAAAUUACUGUUUCAGCGUAGCUUUUGAGUACUUUGGCACUCACCGAUUAUAUAAACUUAUAUGUAAACAAGUUUUUAUUUAUUGCAAUCAAUCAAUAAAAGUGUACGAAAUGAUUUGCUUUAAACGAUUACAAACAAAGGGUGUUACUUUAGACUUAUAGAAAUUUAACGUAAAAUCAAAAAAUCAAAAUAAACAAGUAAGAAAGGGCUAAGUUUGGUUGUGACCGAACAUUUUAUACUUUCGCAAUUUAUUUGUUUAAUUUUAUUAGUAUUAUAUAAUACACAAUUUGACCCACAUAUUCGUCAUAUAUAUGGUAUAAAGUCCAUUGAAAGUCGGAAACCCUAAUAUUAGGUUAGAAACACCGAGGUCCUCAUGUUCGAUAUAUAUUCAGGUCGACUUCAAAGUUCUGGUAUAUAGGAAGUAGGCGUGGUUAUGAACCGAUUUGGCCCAUUUUCACAACAUAUCAUUGUGAUAUAAGGAAAAUAUUCCAAACCAAGUUUCAUUGAUAUUGGUCGAGUAGUUUAGACCAAUUUGGGUGGAGCCAAACCUUCUUUAUAAUGAAAUUUAAGGUUUCUUGUGUUUUCCCUUACUGGAUUUAAGCAUUUUGAGUAGUUUUCAACAUAACCUUUGUGUGGGAGGUGGGCGUGUUUAUGAUCCGAUAUCCUCCAUUUUUGGACUGUAUUAUUUUUGGACUCUAUAAGGUAGUACCUAAAAGAAACGAUUCCAGAAAGUUUGGUUGAUAAAGCAUACCACACCCUUUAUGGUACAAAUAAUGAAUGACUGAAUAAAUAUUGACUGAGCAGUUUGAAAUUCGCUCAGUUGUAAUAAGUAAGACAAAGACAAAGAGCUUAAAGUUAUUUGAAUAGCAAAGUUAUAGGAAACAUAAUAUUCAGACUCCAAACAAACUUCUUAAUAAAAGACAACUGGAGUAUAGUCCUCACGCACCUAUGUAUAUCUUUCAGAUAUUCAGCACACUCUCUCACUGAAAAUCACUUCCACUUCUCUCCUAGAUAAUCGGCUAUGCUUUUCCUCGUGUGUUUCUUAAGUUUAUUCGUCAAAUUUAGAAUCUUACAAACCUU